GACGCACCGUCCAAACGUUAUUCGGAAUUACUGGGCUUAAAGGGUGCGUAGGCGGCGCGGAAAGUUGGGUGUGAAAUCCCUCGGCUCAACCGAGGAACUGCGCCCAAUACUACCGUGCUUGAGGGAGAUAGAGGUGAGCGGAACUUAGGGUGGAGCGGUGAAAUGCGUUGAUAUCCUAAGGAACACCGGUGGCGAAAGCGGCUCACUGGAUCUCUUCUGACGCUGAGGCACGAAAGCUAGGGUAGCGAACGGG
rnacentral:rRNA from 1 species